AGAUUAUUAGUGGAGAUCCCGUAGGACGAUAGAAUCUCAAGAGCAGAGCCUACCAGGAAGUAGAGUGAAGCCUACAACUUCCUCAGCCAUGAGGACCCAACAAUCCACUGGGGAGUGCUGGUUUGCCACAAAACUCCAUCGUAACUGAAAGAGGAAACCGUAACCUUGCACUGUGAGGUGCUCCAUCUGCCUGGGAGCAGCUCCACACAGUGGUUUCUCAAUGGCACAGCCACUCAGACCUCGACCCCCAGCUACAGAAUCACCUCUGCCAGUGUCAAUGACAGUGGUGAAUACAGGUGCCAGAGAGGUCUCUCAGGGCGAAGUGACCCCAUACAGCUGGAAAUCCACAGAG
rnacentral:lncRNA from 1 species